rnacentral:rRNA from 1 species
CGUAAAGCGCGCGCAGGCGGUUCCUUAAGUCUGAUGUGAAAGCCCCCGGCUCAACCGGGGAGGGUCAUUGGAAACUGGGGAACUUGAGUGCAGAAGAGAAGAGUGGAAUUCCACGUGUAGCGGUGAAAUGCGUAGAGAUGUGGAGGAACACGAGUGGCGAAGGCGANCUCUUUGGUCUGUAACUGACGCUGAGGCGCGAAAGCGUGGGGAGCAAACAGGAUUAGAUACCCUGGGUAGUCCACGGCCGUAAACGAUGAGUGCUAAGUGUUAGAGGGUUUCCGCCCUUUAGUGCUGCAGCAAACGCAUUAAGCACUCCGCCUGGGGAGUACGGGCCGCAAGGCUGAAACUCAAAGGAAUUGACGGGGGCCCGCACAAGGCGGUGGAGCAUGUGGUUUAAUUCGAAGCAACGCGAAGAACCUUACCAGGUCUUGACAUCUCCUGACAACCCUAGAGAUAGGGCGUUCCCCUUCGGGGGACAGGAUGACAGGUGGUGCAUGGUUGUCGUCAGCUCGUGUCGUGAGAUGUUGGGUUAAGUCCCGCAACGAGCGCAACCCUUGAUCUUAGUUGCCAGCAUUCAGUUGGGCACUCUAAGGUGACUGCCGGUGACAAACCGGAGGAAGGUGGGGAUGACGUCAAAUCAUCAUGCCCCUUAUGACCUGGGCUACACACGUGCUACAAUGGAUGGUACAAAGAGCUGCGAGACCGCGAGGUUAAGCGAAUCCCAUAAAACCAUUCUCAGUUCGGAUUGCAGGCUGCAACUCGCCUGCAUGAAGCCGGAAUCGCUAGUAAUCGCG